UGAGGAAUAUUGGUCAAUGGACGGAAGUCUGAACCAGCCAAGUAGCGUGCAGGAUGACGGCCCUAUGGGUUGUAAACUGCUUUUGUAUGGGGAUAAAGUUAGGGACGUGUCCCUAUUUGCAGGUACCAUACGAAUAAGGACCGGCUAAUUCCGUGCCAGCAGCCGCGGUAAUACGGAAGGUCCAGGCGUUAUCCGGAUUUAUUGGGUUUAAAGGGAGCGUAGGCUGGAGAUUAAGUGUGUUGUGAAAUGUAGACGCUCAACGUCUGAAUUGCAGCGCAUACUGGUUUCCUUGAGUACGCACAACGUUGGCGGAAUUCGUCGUGUAGCGGUGAAAUGCUUAGAUAUGACGAAGAACUCCGAUUGCGAAGGCAGCUGACGGGAGCGCAACUGACGCUUAAGCUCGAAGGUGCGGGUAUCAAACAGGAUUAGAUACCCUGGUAGUCCGCACAGUAAACGAUGGAUGCCCGCUGUUGGUACCUGGUAUCAGCGGCUAAGCGAAAGCAUUAAGCAUCCCACCUGGGGAGUACGCCGGCAACGGCG
rnacentral:rRNA from 1 species